UGUCUACUUAUUCCUCUUAACCAUACAUAGCCUGGCAUCAUAUUUCAUCCAAAAAUACUUCAGUAUAUAUGGAUAUGAACUUUUUAAGAUACACGAUCAUAACAGCAUAUCAAAAACAUGAAUUCCUUAAUGUUAUGAAAUACUGAAGUACUCAAAUUUCUAUGUCUUUAUUUUUCACAAAUUCAUUUAUUUGAAAAUCCAAACAGGGUUUUAUAUUAAAGUUGGCAUAUUCCUUGAAGUCUUUUUGAGCUGGUAGGUUCCUCUCCAUCUCUUUCCCAUUCUGGCUUUUGCUAAAGUGUCAUUUAACAGGUUUCUUUACCCUUUGUAUUUCCUGUUAAUUAGGAAUAGACCUGGAAGAGUGAGUGAAUUCAGAUUUAAUGGCAAGAAAACCUCACAGAUAGUGUUGUGUGUUUUCAUCAAAGAUGCGUCAUGUCUGAUUGUCUCUUUUUCUGUGUUGCAGCCAUUGAAGCUCAGUGCUUAGAUUGCUUAUCGAAGCAAUAAGCUCAGUGCUUAUCCAAGUUUGCAACAUGGUGAUACCACCUUUUCACCAUUCCUUUCCUUACAAUACCUGAAAUACCACUAUAAACGGAAACUUGUCUACAUUACUGUUCAUAUUGGAAAGAGGAAAAGCGUCCAGAUUUUUUGCCAGUUUUCUAAAUAAUGAGUUGGUUUACUGGCACCCUCCAAAAGUGACAAGAUCUUCAGUUGCAGCAUGUGGGGUCUGUAGUUUCCGGACCAGCGACUGAACCCAUGCCCACUGCAGUAGAAGUGUGGAAUCCUAGCCACUGGGCCACCAGCAAGGUGGAUUUGUUACCACUGAGUCACCUGGGAAGCCCACCGUCUACAUGACAGUGACUCAAAUUUCUAUCUCCAAGCAGAACUUCUCCCCUCAAAUCCAGACUUAGGG
ensembl:lncRNA